UAAUUUAUCCCGCAAUUAUUAGGCGAAUAAUUUUUUUAGGUCAUAAAAAAUAAGUAUCGCGAUAUUAUUUUUUAUGCAUUGGAAACAUUUCUCCUUGAGAAAUAAUUCUCUGCUUAAAAUUUAAUGACGCGAAACAUUUCAAUCUGUCAUUUUUUACGGCUCAUUUUGUUUACUAUUGCAUUGUUGUUGUUCUCUGGAAAUUUCGCUACCUCACUUCAUCGAAUCGUCUCCGGUUCACGUGUUCAAGGAGCUGAUUAGGAUCAACUAGGAAGAGAAAUUCCGGAGUUUAUUCCUUCCGGAAUAAACCAGUGAAAAUUCAGCAUUGCCUUUGACGGUAGUUCAGCAAAAGGAUAGGAUCAAUCAGCAAACAACAAUCUACCAUCCUGUAGAAACCUGCAUGCCUACAAGCGUAUCCACCUUUGCAACAUGGGCCAGCACUGCUCCUAUUGGAACAACACAGGAAAAUGCCUAGGAGAACAGUGGUUUGUUUCGUUUCGAAUGAUCCGGAAACGAUUCCCUUGUUGGAACGGUAUUCGUGUCAAAGUUUAUGAUUAUUUUAGGAAAAAAAGUUUAUGAGUAAGUGAAAUUCCAAAUUAUAUUAUAAAAUUAAAUUACAUAUAUGUAUUAAACAAUAAAUUUAAAAAAUCUCAAA